rnacentral:rRNA from 1 species
ACGGAAGGCAGCAGUGGGGAAUAUUGGACAAUGGGGGAAACCCUGAUCCAGCGACGCCGCGUGAGUGAAGAAGUAUUUCGGUAUGUAAAGCUCUAUCAGCAAGGAAGAAAAUGACGGUACUUGACUAAGAAGCUCCGGCUAAAUACGUGCCAGCAGCCGCGGUAAUACGUAUGGAGCAAGCGUUAUCCGGAUUUACUGGGUGUAAAGGGAGCGUAGACGGCAAAGCAAGUCUGAAGUGAAAUCCCGGGGCUCAACCCCGGAACUGCUUUGGAAACUGUUUAGCUAGAGUGCUGGAGAGGUAAGCGGAAUUCCUAGUGUAGCGGUGAAAUGCGUAGAUAUUAGGAGGAACACCAGUGGCGAAGGCGGCUUACUGGACUGUAACUGACGUUGAGGCUCGAAAGCGUGGGGAGCAAACAGGAUUAGAUACCCUGGUA